rnacentral:rRNA from 1 species
AUACGGAGGGUGCAAGCGUUGUCCGGAUUUAUUGGGUUUAAAGGGUGUGUAGGCGGUGUAUUAAGUCAGUGGUGAAAGCCUGCGGCUCAACCGUAGAACUGCCAUUGAUACUGACACACUUGAGUUUGGUUGAGGUAGGCGGAAUUUAUGGUGUAGCGGUGAAAUGCAUAGAUACCAUAAAGAACACCGAUAGCGAAGGCAGCUUACUAAGCCGAAACUGACGCUGAGGCACGAAAGCGUGGGGAGCGAACAGGAUUAGAAACCCGAGUAGUCC